CUUAACUGACUGAGCCAGGCACUCCAAUACUAAACAUUUUUAAUACUAACCACUGUUUCUUGAAAAAUGUUAUUUAUGUAUGUGCUUCUCUGUAAGAGACAAAAUAAGGUUGCCUGUAUAUAUUUUCUACUAUGAAAAGUCCAUUUAUUUGGCAAAUUUGUAACUGAAUCCCUACUACCUGUAUCACAUUGGACUAGGCACCCUGAGGAUACAAGGAUGUAUGGAAUCAGGUUCCUGCCCUCUGGGACCUUAACACGCAGAGGAAAGAUGAGAGUGAAACAUUCCUUCAUCUGUCCCUGAUCCAAAACUUAUAUAUACUUGAAAGAACGUAUCAGGUUGGCAAAUAAUGUUUUUCAAUUUGUUUUCUAAUAUCUGGAUUGGCUGGGAUUUGGCCUUAAAGACUUGGCUGACCUUCCUAGACGACCGGGUGACAGAUUCUUCCAGAAAUGCAACUAGAAUGAGCACAGAGCAAAGUUAGAGAAGAUGUAACCAUGGAAGAAUGACCAGAGAAAUGCAACCUUGAUGGCACUGAAGAUAAAAAUGGCAGUGAACCAGGGCUUCUAGGAGCUGGAAACAAUAAGGAAAUGGAUUCUUCCCUAGAGCCUCUGGAAGGGAGCACAGCGCUGACAACACUGUGAGGUUAGCCCCUGGAGAACCAGGUCACCCUACUAACCUACAGGACUGCAAGGAUCCAGGCUGACCAAGGAGCACCUAUCUAGGACAUGCCAUUGUGACAGAUUAAAAAGAGAGAUGGUGGAACCA